AACGAACGCUGGCGGCAGGCCUAAAACAUGCAAGUCGAACGGUAACAGGUCUUCGGAUGCUGACGAGUGGCGAACGGGUGAGUAACACAUCGGAACGUGCCCGAGAGUGGGGGAUAACGAGGCGAAAGCUUUGCUAAUACCGCAUACGAUCUCAGGAUGAAAGCAGGGGACCGCAAGGCCUUGCGCUCACGGAGCGGCCGAUGGCAGAUUAGGUAGUUGGUGGGAUAAAAGCUUACCAAGCCGACGAUCUGUAGCUGGUCUGAGAGGACGACCAGCCACACUGGGACUGAGACACGGCCCAGACUCCUACGGGAGGCAGCAGUGGGGAAUUUUGGACAAUGGGCGCAAGCCUGAUCCAGCCAUGCCGCGUGCAGGAUGAAGGCCUUCGGGUUGUAAACUGCUUUUGUACGGAACGAAAAGACUCUGGUUAAUACCUGGGGUCCAUGACGGUACCGUAAGAAUAAGCACCGGCUAACUACGUGCCAGCCGCCGCCGUAA
rnacentral:rRNA from 1 species